rnacentral:rRNA from 1 species
GAUGAACGCUGGCGGCGUGCCUAAUACAUGCAAGUCGAGCGAACAGACGAGGAGCUUGCUCCUCUGACGUUAGCGGCGGACGGGUGAGUAACACGUGGAUAACCUACCUAUAAGACUGGGAUAACUUCGGGAAACCGGAGCUAAUACCGGAUAAUAUAUUGAACCGCAUGGUUCAAUAGUGAAAGACGGUUUUGCUGUCACUUAUAGAUGGAUCCGCGCCGCAUUAGCUAGUUGGUAAGGUAACGGCUUACCAAGGCGACGAUGCGUAGCCGACCUGAGAGGAUGAUCGGCCACACUGGAACUGAGACACGGUCCAGACUCCUACGGGAGGCAGCAGUAGGGAAUCUUCCGCAAUGGGCGAAAGCCUGACGGAGCAACGCCGCGUGAGUGAUGAAGGUCUUCGGAUCGUAAAACUCUGUUAGUAGGGAAGAACAAAUGUGUAAGUAACUAUGCACGUCUUGACGGUACCUAAUCAGAAAGCCACGGCUAACUACGUG